rnacentral:rRNA from 1 species
CACGUAGGGCGCAAGCGUUGUCCGGAAUUAUUGGGCGUAAAGAGCUCGUAGGCGGUCUGUUGCGUCCGCUGUGAAAACCCGGGGCUUAACCCUGGGCUGGCAGUGGGUACGGGCAGACUAGAGUGUGGUAGGGGAGACUGGAAUUCCUGGUGUAGCGGUGAAAUGCGCAGAUAUCAGGAGGAACACCGAUGGCGAAGGCAGGUCUCUGGGCCACUACUGACGCUGAGAAGCGAAAGCAUGGGGAGCGAACAGG